UCCCUCAGCCUAUUGCUCCACAUCCAGGCUCCGCUUCCCCGGUGCUCGAGCUCCUCCUCUCGCGCUCACCGGUCACAGUCGCACGCGACCGGCGGGGUACUUCACUGGCGGGAUACCUCGCAGGGUAGAGGCGGGAAGCCGGUGGCUUCGGGCAACGGUGAUAACGGUGAUAAGAGUCGCAUUUCGGAGCAUCCACACGUAACGCGACUCCUCAGACCCGGAGCCGGGUUCCACGGGUGGGGAGCCCAAGGCGGCCUUGGAGAGGCUGUAGCCGCAAGCGGACCGGCGGCGGAGUCUCCCUCAGCUUCAGGAAGGGACUCCGAGACGCCCGGGGCGGAACCCCUUUCCCAGACUUGAGAGCCGCCCCUCCCCCCUCCGGGGACCGUUACCCGUUGCCGCCUGAAGGAGCGGUUGUGUGAUUGUCGCUAGAGUGGCCCUGGGCAUCGUUUGUCUAGGGCACGCUGGCUUUUGGCUUUGAAGGUUCUCUACCCACUUCCUUCCCAGCAUUGCAGUUGGGUCCUUGUAGCUCCGGUAUCUGCUGUAGACUCCACUCUCUUCAGUACCCAAGACUACUAAUCCUUAAAGGAUGUGCUGCCAAACAAGGUGACUGGAUGCCUGCCAGACAAGCAUAUUAAAAGAGAUCAUUUCUUGGGUAUCCAGCUGUUUCCUGGAGCCUUUGCAAAUCAAUUCAGCAUGAACGGAAAACAAGGCAACCAAAGAAGCUGCUUUAAAAAUCGUGAUGUCGCCGGGCGGUGGUGGCGCACGCCUUUAAUCCCAGCACUCGGGAGGCAGAGCCAGGCGGAUCUCUGUGAGUUCGAGGCCAGCCUGGACUACCAAGUGAUCACCAACAGAGACAUGAGAGACCUGCAGUACAUUACAUACACCAUGGACGCACUUGGGGGGACUGGCUCUGACCAUCUCUCAAGAGGCUUCCUCAGCCACUUCCACACUGCAGUUCAGGCCAGGCUUUCAACCUUCCUUGGAGAGUGACCAGCUGUGACAGACAUUCUGGCCUCUCAGGCUUUCCUGCCACACCUGGUGUCUGCUCACUGCUUCUUUCACCCCCACAGGGAGCAUCACAGAGUUGGGGCCAGUCCUCAUGUCCUGUUCUCUUUUCUGUUCUCUUCCCUCUGUCCAUGCUGAUGCAGUCUGUACUCAGACCCUCCUAGUUCUCGCCUGGAUCACUGCAGUGGCUUCUUAACCGGCUCCCUGAGAUUCUCAAAGCAUCUCUCACCAUGUUAUCUCCAGGCUUAACAUGCUUCCUGGAACCCGUGGUGCCUUCAUGAUGAGAUCUGAGCUCUGCAGUAGAUCUGCAGGACUCCUGAGACUCAGUUACUGUGUUCCCUGGUCCUGUCCACUGUGCUCCCUGCUCUGCCUCUGGGCUGUGACUAGAUUGCUCCUCCAGGGCCGUGUCAGGUGCCUGCUGUUUUUUAGGUACCACCUUGGACCCUGCAGACUUCUGUCUAUCAGGGGUGUCCUUCACUGCCAUGUUUGUUUGUGCCCCCCUCCCAAGCUGGUAUCUGCAUAGCCUUGUGGAUUUUGUACACUGUUUAGUGGGCUGCAGGAAGGAAGGGAAGAAAGAUCGGGCAGAUGCGCUGUGCAUGGGCUGGAGUGUUCAGCAUGGUUGGCCACUCUUCUGGACUGGUCUUUCUAGGUCUCCUCUUUUUUUUUUUAUUUUUUUACCCUGUGCCUGAGUUCACUGCUUCUGCUUAAGGUACAAGUGGCCGCCGGGCUUGCAGAAGGAGAACCUGAGUGAUCUACACUUUUGCCUCACAGGCUGCUGCCACCAAGUGUUGGCGUUCCCAUCCUAUUAUGCCUUUUCCUUUUCUCUUUACUUCAUGGCCUGGCUGCACCCUUCACUUGGAAAAUUGCCAAGGCCAGGCUUGUAAUGUGCUGUGGCCCAUAGUGGAGUAGGACUGUGCAAAAAUUCAAAGCUAGGCUGGGAAUAGGCCAGUGAUGGGAGGCUUGCCCGGAGUGCUUGUCAAGGUCUUGGGUUCCGUCCCUGGUAUAACAAGUUAAUAAUAGCAACAACAGCCAAAAAGCAUCGCUGACCAUUUCCAGCCCUGCUUCAACUCCUUGACCUAAGGAUAGAACCCAUUUUGUUAGGCCUGCACCCUGGGCUGGCUGCUUACUCUUGUGUCCUGCCGCCGCCGCCAGCCAGAAUUUGUCCUUCUCUGACCUUUCCAGACUCACAUAGCUACACCCCAGGCACUGACCGCUGCUAGUGUCAGGCUUGGGCUAGCAUUUCCCUGUCUUCAACCAGGACUUGUACUUGAACUUCAUGGCUGCUUUCAAGCCUCACCUUCCUGACUAGCCCUAGGGGCACCGGGAGCUCCUUCUCUGCGGUACUGAGGGCACACUUCAUCAAGACUGGUCCAUUCAUCCAGCCCUGUGUGGCAAGUGGUAUUCUAUGGGUUUGAGGCAACAGUGAGCUAGCCAGGAAAUGUCCUGCUCCCAGAGUCUCUGCACCGUUGUGAAGAUGAAUCAGCUGACUCUUCCUCCCUGGAUGAGGAGUGCCUCAAGGAUAAGAGUCCUUCAGUGCCUACCCUGGCUGCCCUCCAGUACAGUUGACCUGAGACCCUCCAGAACACACCUGCCUUAAAUAAGGGCCUGUGGCGAGGCCUAGGCCCAUUGAAUGAUGGUGUGAGCCCUUCUGCACUGAAGGCUGCUCCCACACGCCCCAGCCCAUGCUUGGCCCUAGCAGUUAGGGCUCUUACUGGCAUGGCUAAAUCCUCACAGAAGGUAUUACAGAUUCCAAGUGCUUCCUUCUCUCACCCUGGGUUGGGUAUGAGUCAGGAUGGACCUCUCUGCACCCCUGAGACCCCAGUGACAGGGCAACAGUGUGGCCAACUCCAACAUCUGGACACUGGAGAAGUUUUCUGCUUCCUGGAUCACCAGCGUGCCCUGGACAGGCACAACAAGCACCUGUCAUGCACACUGGCCAGUCGAGCCCAAGUUACAGUGACCCUUAUGUCGAAGCCGUGGACACCUACCAGAUCUGACAAAUUCCCAGAGAAGAAGGGUGGCCUCUAGGGGCUAUUUGAACAGAUUCCCAAAUGCUUUGGUCUUCAUGGAGUGCUGGUAUCUGCCUGUCCUGUCACUGCUGAAUUGGAAGAGCCUGGUUUAUUGCCCAUCAGCUUCAAAGGAUGGCUCUGCUCCUGGAUCCCCAGCCUCCUGCCUUUUCCUCCUACUUGACAAUGAUUGGAUUGUGGCACCUCCCGUGGAGUUGUUGGACUUAGUCUGGAGGUAAUCAUCAACAGAGGCGUGCAGGAAAGGUCUCUGUGCAUUGUACACAUCUGGAGCUCAACACCCUGUUUAUGAGCUGAUGACAGAAAGAGAGAAUCAGAGAAGAAACGAGUGUGGUUAUCAGGGACUUGGACUCCCUGCAGGGACAACUCCUGGAAGUAUCCAAAAUACUGAGCACAGUACUCAUGACUUCCCACCAGGAGAAAACGGUCUGGUCCUGCAAUUCCAGACCCCCAAUAAACCCAAGGUAUCUUGCAGUUUUCAGAGGAACUGAAAUGACUGUAUGAGCUGGAAGAGCUGAGGAGAAGGACAUACCUGAGAACCCCAGUGGACUCACCCAGGAUCAUCACCAGAUAUUGGCAAUCAACGCCCGAGGGUCCCGAUGCUGCUACCCUAACCUGCAUCCGGUGCUGCUGGUUUACAUGGGGACUUAAAGACAAAUGGCAUGUAGGCCAGCAGCCCAUGACUGCUGUGCAUGAUUGUGUGGGUACUGUCUAGCCGGGCCUGCACCCAUGGCCCUGAGAUAGCUACCGAGAAAGUCCACAUCAUUUCCACCAGGGCUGGAGUUUAGGUGUGGAGGCGACAGUUUUUGAAAGGUAGCUUGCUUCUGCCUGCAGUGAUUUCCUCUGUGAUCAUGGCUGGGAUACUGGUUCCAGAUCAUUGUAGGGAGGGCAGAAGGUGGCCAUGCCAAAGCUGGGCAGGGAUAUUAAGGUAGAUGCUGGGCAUCAGCAGCCAUGUGUGUGACAAAGGGCUUGCAAGUUAAAUACUAUGGCAGUCAAGUGAUUUCCAAGUCCUGCCCAAUUCUCGGACUGUGUAUCCUGACUCAGUCAUAGCUGAAGGACCUGUUAUAGGUGACUUUCUGGGAGCCAGUGCCAGGCCAGCUCAUGUCCUCUCCAGGGUUUGCUGUGCUCCCUGAUGUGGGUCAGGAAGAAAGUGAACCUGGUGGUAUUUGGAGGCAUUUGGGUUCAGCAGUUCUGUCCAGAGUGCUAGUAUUUCUAGCUGCCUGAGCUUGGCAAGCUCCUUCACCCAUCACGAUGAUGCACAUGCCUUCACCCCUUUUCUCUGCAUAGUACCUGACUUCUAAGAGCUAUUUUCUUUUCAACAGGAGAGGGUAUCUGUAAAAUGCUUGGUGCAAACUGCACCACAGUGGUCUGAUCUCCUUCUCUUACUCCCCUCCCUUUGGAGGGCUUGGGUCUGGGUCUCUCUUGCUCUCUCAUGGCUGUCUGGUAUCUUCUUCCCCAGUAAGAGCUGUAAUUCAAGUAAUCUGGAGCAGAAGAUCCAACCUGGGAGUGUUUGUGUGUGCCUAGCUCUCACAGAGGUGUUCUGGGGAUGCAGAAAUGAGCAGGGCAGCAUAGAAAUGAUGUUGCAGAGUGGAGGUGAGGAGCAAGGGCUCUGGAUUCAGACCACACUAUAACUCAGUGUGCAGCCUUAGAGCUAGUUGCACUUAAUUGCACUGUACCUCAGUUUUCCUGUCUGUAAAAUAGGUAUAAAAUUAAUCAACCUCAUGAAUGAACAAUGCAUUCUAGUGCUGAGCACAUCCGUCAGUUCCAAUAAAUAUGUAUUGGUACUAACUGACUCCAACUGAGGAGCCAGGGUAGGGAGCUAUGCAGUAGGGUUAAGUGGUCCCCACAACAAUUGGCUUUCUUUCCCACAGAUGGGAGAGAUCAGAGGGUAGAAGACUUGGAAUAGGUGUCCCUUGAGGGAUGGGAAAUAAUUAUUGAUGUUGUUUCUGUAGUUUUGGUCACUGGGGGUGGUUCCCAGCGCUUGGCACAGGCUGAGCAAGUGUUCCUCCCAUGAGCAACAGUCCCAGUAGUUUUUAGAUGAGCAGAUGGGAGUAGUCUGACUUAUCCUAGUUGGGGAAGACAAGCAAGCCUCUCCAAUCCCUCUAAUCCAUGUUCUUGACCACCCCAACUCUUAAACCCCCACCCUCUGCAUCAGAAAACAAUUUAAUGAACUCCAGCUGAGCCACAUGCUGGCUGCAUGACAGUAGUAUCCAUGGAGAUCUGUUCUCAAGGAGAGAAGAGAAAACCAAGGUCUCUGCACUAAGUCUCCGAGCCAGUGGCAUGGGCCUGCCUGCAGAGCAGACAAAGGAGUCUGUGUUUGCAGUCCCCAAAGAGCCCCAGUCUUCUUCUCCCUAUCCCUCCUAUACUGAUUGGUGGGGGUCCAGGAAACAUGUAGCCUGCCAGCCCUGGGCACCUCAUACAGGCUGCUGGAGGGUAGCAUGGAGGCAGCUUCUUCUUGACUGUGGGGAAAUGGCAGACACAACCCUUUCCUAUCAGCACAAGAGGUAGGUUGAUAAUGAUGUUGGGUCCUAGUGUUGGCCACAAGCAUCCCCUCUGUCACCUGACCUCACUGGCCUUGAAGAGCUUUGCUUACUAUCCAAAGCUUUAGCUGCCUCUCUGCUGGUGUAGUGCUACCUGGGCCAAUGGGAUGAGGAGCUGUUUUUGCUUUUCCAUCUGUUUUUCCCCACACACUUGACUCUAGCCUUCCUGACUCAAUGACUGCCCAUAACCUCCUGCAUUUGGCAUUAGCACUCAUGGUCCCAUGAAUAGUAAUGUCUUUUCUGUUUCCUAUUGGCCACCUAUGGCUAAUUUUUCAAGAUACCACUAGUGGUUACCUCCUCUUGUGCCAUGGUUUGGUCUUGCCUGCCUUUGAACCCAUGCCAUGAGAGCUCGCAUUACAUAGACCUGACUAUCUCCAUGGUUCUGACAGUGUCACUGAUGGGGGUCUCACUUUCUUGCCUGUGCUGAUCUCAAAAGUCUGGACUCUUGUGAACCUGUCUCAGCUUUUCAGAAGCUAGGACUCCAGCAAACUUGGCAGUCCUUUUGAAAGAUGAAGAAAAUAAGGCCUGGAGAGCUCAGCUAAGUUGCUUUGGUUGUUAAUGCAGUUUUUUACUUGCUUUGUGCAUAUUUAACUUCUGAGGUGUGCCGGACACUGAGAGCAUGCCAAUGAAUAAAAUGGACAAUAAUCCCUGGAGCUUCCACUGGACUGAGGGAGGAGGAGG